rnacentral:misc_RNA from 1 species
AAGUCGUAACAAGGUUUCCGUAGGUGAACCUGCGGAAGGAACGUUAAAAAUACCAGCAUUAGCUGGUAAAAAUUCUAUCCACCUUCUGUAAACAACGAAAGAGAGAAAAUUGGAUCAGAGAAAAUUCUAUCCAACCUCUCUAUUAUUUUUAUGAACACCAUCAAAAAUUUUAAUGGGAACGAUUUUCAAUAAAAACAUUAUACAACUUUCAACAACAGAUCUCUUGGCUCUC